rnacentral:rRNA from 1 species
UACGGAGGGUGCGAGCGUUGUCCGGAAUCACUGGGCGUAAAGCGCACGUAGGCGGACUCUUAAGUCGGUGGUGAAAUCCUGGAGCUCAACUCCAGAACUGCCUUCGAUACUGGGAGUCUCGAGUCCGGGAGAGGUGAGUGGAACUGCGAGUGUAGAGGUGAAAUUCGUAGAUAUUCGCAAGAACACCAGUGGCGAAGGCGGCUCACUGGCCCGGUACUGACGCUGAGGAGCGAAAGCGUGGGGAGCGAACAGG